GACGAACGCUGGCGGCGUGCCUAAUACAUGCAAGUAGAACGCUGAAGGAGGAGCUUGCUCUUCUGGAUGAGUUGCGAACGGGUGAGUAACGCGUAGGUAACCUGCCUGGUGGCGGGGGAUAACUAUUGGAAACGAUAGCUAAUACCGCAUAACAGUAGAUGUUGCAUGACAUUUACUUAAAAGGUGCAAUUGCAUCACUACCAGAUGGACCUGCGUUGUAUUAGCUAGUUGGUGGGGUAACGGCUCACCAAGGCGACGAUACAUAGCCGACCUGAGAGGGUGAUCGGCCACACUGGGACUGAGACACGGCCCAGACUCCUACGGGAGGCAGCAGUAGGGAAUCUUCGGCAAUGGACGGAAGUCUGACCGAGCAACGCCGCGUGAGUGAAGAAGGUUUUCGGAUCGUAAAGCUCUGUUGUAAGAGAAGAACGAGUGUGAGAGUGGAAAGUUCACACUGUGACGGUAUCUUACCAGAAAGGGACGGCUAACUACGUG
rnacentral:rRNA from 1 species